AGAAGAACAAAAAUGACCGGGAAAAUCUGACAGGACUGAGAAGAUGACAACAGCACAGCGGGGUUUUAGAAGCCCAUCAGAGUGAUUUUCUGAGUUCUUUCACAUGCUGUAUGGUCAGCGAAUGGAUGGAUUAUCCAGUCAAGGUACAGAAUGAAAGACUUGACUGAGUUAGAAGAAACUGAGCGACUUUUCAGAGUGAAGAUGUUAUGUGCCUGCUUUCGAACCACACCCGUGGAGAUAUCUGCCAACAAAUGGACAAUCAUUCAUGGGGCUACAGAUGGGGCUGCAUUCAAGAAUUUUCAAUAUGCAGUUAUGUCAAAGCACUCGUUUCGGCUGGCCAGAUUGGAACAGACCUGAAUGGGAAGAUGGCAGAGCUAAGACUGACAAUGUCCAGGAAAAAUGUUAACUAAAAAUUAGUGUUUUUCCUCAGCGAGUGAG